UGGGGGUGAUUAUUAUUUUCUGGAUGGGGUGAAUUAUUUAUUAACAAAAUAAGAAAGUAUAGUGUUAAGCGUCUGAGUUUGGAGUGUUGCAGAGUGAAAAAGAGGACGGACCGAGUUGAGAUUUUGAGAGGCGUCUAGCAUGAAGAACCCACUACAAGUCCCUCGUCUCUUCCUCUUUACACUGGUACUGGCGAAUGAAGUUGGGGGCACUUUGCAAUAUCCUGUGGUAAUAAGCACGUGGCCGUUCUUGGAAGCUGUUAGAGCUGCGUGGAGGGCUGUGGACAGUGGGUUUUCUGCAGUAGAUGCAGUUGUAGAAGGUUGUUCUGCUUGUGAGAAACUAAGAUGCGAUGGUACAGUCGGGCCAGGUGGAAGUCCAGACGAGAAUGGAGAAACUACAAUUGAUGCCAUGGUGAUGAAUGGGACAUGCUUAGGUAACAAUGGAGGUUGGCGCUGUUGCUGCUAUGAGGUAUGUACCAGAGGGCAUUAAAGCUGCAAAGCUAGUGCUGGAGCAUACCAAACAUACUAUGCUCGUUGGGGAUCAAGCCUCAGCUUUUGCCAUUUCAAUGGGCCUUCCAGGGCCUAUAAACCUAAGCUCAGUUGAGUCAAUAGAGAAGUGGAUGAAAUGGAAAGCAAAUUAUUGCCAACCUAAUUUUUGGAAAAAUGUCUCCCCCGGGGAUAAUUGUGGUCCAUACAAUCCAAAUGGUCCUUCAAUAGGAAGAUGUCUGAUGGCAAAUGAGCUCCAGCCUGACGAAUUUGGAUCAGUUAAUGUUGGUUUAGAUAGCCAUGAUACAAUAUCCAUGGCUGUCAUUGACCAGGUUGGACGGAUUGCUGUUGGUACAUCAACUAAUGGAGCCACGUUCAAGAUUCCGGGAAGGGUUGGUGAUGGGCCUAUAGCAGGGUCUUCAGCGUAUGCUGAUUCUGAAGUUGGUGCCUGUGGAGCCACUGGGGAUGGUGAUAUCAUGAUGCGCUUCCUUCCGUGUUAUCAGGUUGUAGAGAGUAUGAGAUUAGGAAUGGAACCCAAAGUAGCUGCAAAAGAUGCUAUAUCGCGAAUUGCAAGGAAAUAUCCCAGCUUCAUUGGGGCUCUAUUUGCAGUCAACAAAAGUGGUAUUCAUGCAGGUGCAUCCCAUGGUUGGACUUUUCAGUACUCUGUCAGAAAUCCUGGGAUGAAAGACGUGGAAGUAUUUACUGUUCAUCCCUGAAACUGUGACUGCCACUGCCACUGCCACUGGUAACUUCUUUCGCAUACAUAGAAAAUGAAUAGCUUCAGCCCGAAAAUUUUCUGGUCAACUUCUCCUUCAAUUUCAGAUGUUCACAGGAUUACCACCGAAUCCUCCUUCAGAUCUGGGCCGCUGCAAUUCUGCCCAGAAAAGUAGCGUUCCAAUCUGAAAUUUUUUCUUCUUCCUCGAAUUUUCAGAUCUAAUAGUUUUUGGCUUAAAUCAGUAUUUGGCUACUAAUGUAUAACCCUGAGAAGAAGAUAGUUCUGAACUUUUAGAGCCAAGAAUUUUCCUAAUAAAAGUUGGCCCAGAAGAGAAAUGAUACUAACAGAAGGGAGAGAUUUUUUUCCAAGGGUGGUUGCCCCUCUCUGUUGUGCCAAUGAUUUUUCUGUAGCUACUAAACCAACAACCCAUGAUCAUGAAUUUUGAAAAACAACAUAUGCAUCUUCAGUCUA